AACAAAAUAUCCUCAGUUUAUUCAGAUUUUUAUUUUUUUACAAUUGUUAAUGAAGCAAAAUUCUAAUUUGAAAGAAUGGGAAAAAACUCCUAUCCCUCUCUCCUUGGACGGAAAAACCCCAAGGCGGCAAUUCCCAACAUCAUUUUUAUGGGAUGACCGAAUCGUAAAACUAUGAUAGUUUCCGUGUGUGCUUUCUCUCUGGCUGCAUUCGAUUUCUCUCGUUUUUGAACUCGGGACAUCUCUGGUGUAAUCCAAGUUGUUACGUUAACUUCAAAGUCCGAUAACUCGAAUUUUUUUAUCACCAAAAAACUCUGCAUCGCCGAAAAAAUCAGGGUUUUUUUUCCAGGGGUAUAAUGAAUACAAAUAUAUGAUUGGUGUAAUCCGCAUCUGAGAAAUCAAAUCUGCUUUAUACAUGUAUUCAACAGUAGAUCCACCUCCACCUACUCCAUAUACUCGUAUGUACCGAACUUUUCUAUAUUCACCACAAGCCAGGUUAAAUUUUCCCUAUUUCUAGUGUCGUUUGUUCAGCCUCGUCCUGAUUUUCCUGACUGCCGGUUGAACCCUAAAAGAAAUGGCAUAUCUUCGAAUUUAUUAAUGACUGAAAUUAAAAUACAAUUAGGUAAUUACAACAAUUAAAUUUUAUCAUAACUUUAAAAACGGAUAAUUUGAACAUUUAUCAAUAGUUAUUAGAUUUGUUAUAUGGGACCGAAACGACUUGGGGUCGAAAUUGUUUGAUGCCGAAAAAAGCAAAUAUCAAAUGACGUGUAGGCUAUUGAACAGACGACAUUUUAGAAACAGGAUAGGGAAUGGACAAUUACUUAGAUAGUGUAAAUUGUACCUGUUUAAGAAAAGAACUAUGAAUCAAACCCGGGACCCGUGCAUAGUCAGACAAUUUACCACUGAGUCGAUAUCAUACGAAUGGUCCAUAACCCUGACCAUCACACAUGUAUCCAACAAUACAGGCACAGAUAUUGUUGAAUUGAACACAAGACAGCCAUCUAGAACUUGAAGCCACAACCAGUGAUAAAGAACAUAUAUAAGGUUUCGUCCUCAUUCAAGGUAGAAACAACUUGUCCAGUUAUGGAAAACCAUCAAAUAGUCAUGGUAUAGUUUCAUCCUCAUUCAAGGUAGUAACAACUUGUCCAGUUAUGGAAAACCAACAAAUAGUCGUGGUAUAGUAUGUACAUUUAUUCAAUUAUGAAACAUUAAUAAUUUAUACAGACAAUCAAUCAUUAUUAUACCCCUGCUCCGAAGGAAUAGGGGGUAUACUGUUUUACCCAUGUGUGUCUGUCUCUCCGUCUGUCUGUAACAAAACAAUUGUCACAUUUAUCUUAGCAACUAUUCAUUGCAGAUGCUUGAAAUUUUAACUGGUGGCCUCUUGUUAGGGUAAUUGCUGUGCAUGUUUAAUCCAUUAACAGUUAACUUCUUAUUGAAAACUACAAGGUAAAAGUUUACAUGUAAUGAACACUAAUUUAAACACAUAUCAGGUGAUGCAUUAAUAUUUAUUUGAAUAUGAUGUGCUCGCUUUUUAGGUUUUAUCCUCAUUCAAGGAAGUAACAACUGGUCCAGUUAUGGAAAAUCAACACAUAGUCUUGGUAUAAUCUAUAGAGUAUGGUUUUCACAGAUACAGUAGACAAGAGAAAGAAAAGAGGAGUUGUAUACGGUUAUGAUUUAAAGACCUAGACCCUCCAGACCAUGGACCCAGCAAGUACAACAUAUAAAGUACAUCAAUGCUCUAAGUGUCCGGGGGACACGGAGUACUAUUGUGAAUCAUGUCCAUGUGAUCUCUGUCAAAAGUGUAAAGAAAACCAUGUGAAAAACCUCCAAACAAUAGACCAUUAUGUUGUGUCACAUCAUGAGAAAUUCAACAACAUCCCAACACAAGAGAUUUGUGGGAGACAUCCUAGUAAUGUUUAUAGGACGUACUGUGAACAUUGUCAAGUUCCUGUGUGUAAUUCUUUGUUUAGACGUAAAUCUCACAGAUUCCCUGUUUAUCUCUUUCGACAAAGUAAGCACAAGAUUCUUAGCUUACAAGGAGCUUAUAAAACAAAGCAACAACAACACAGAGGAACCAUUCACACCAUCAGAAGUGAGGCUCUCUUUUACAGACCUGUUCUCCUGCCACGAAUCACAGAUGACAUCAAAACCUGUCGCACAGAAUUCUCCCGCUAUCAAUCAGAGAUGUUAACAAAGGCCCAGAGACUGAAGAAGCUCGUUAACUAUGUGGUAUAUGAUCUAUUGAACAAAGUGUUUUGUGACUUUGAUUUCAAACACAGAUGUUUAAAACAGAUGAUAGAAACAAACAGACAUAUUGUCAGCCUACAGAGAUAUGUACACAUGUAUGAACAGUCAACAUUCAGUGCACUACAAUUCCUCUCCUCCAUAAAGACAGCCCUCACCCAGAUACAUCUUACACUCCACACCAGCCAGCUCUCCAUGACUGAGUCACUCAACAAGGAGGACGUGAUGGAGUCACUGAGUGCAAUCCAAAUCACAGAGAGAGGAAACCGACGCGUAGGAAACCAGUGUCUGCUGAAACUGAUGUCUGGUGCUGAGUUCCAUCAAUCUCUCAGAGUGCCAGGUGUUGAUGGUUGUGUACACAUUUCCUGUGUGACAUCAGACCGGGUCUGGGUCAGUGAUGAUGAAUACAAUCUCAUGUUGACAGACACAACAGGUGUCCCUCUACAUCGUGUGGAGGAUUCAUAUAGAGAUAUAUAUGUUUGUAAUGGAUUACACACAGUGAACAGUGAGAGUGAACUGAUUUAUAUAGAUAGGAAAUAUAACAUCAACAAACUGUCAAAGGAUAUGAAAACAACCACCACAUUUAUAGAGAGAACAGACUCUACAUGGAGACCACGGUGUGUGUACUGGUCCCCGUCCACUGGGGAUCUACUGGUCGGGAUGUAUAACAAUGGUACAAAGACAGGCAAGGUAACCCGGUACAACCAGAGGGGACAACUCACACAAACCAUACAGAACAACAACACAGGACGGGAGCUGUAUAGAAUACCUUACUAUAUAACAGAGAACAACAAUGGGGAUGUCGUGGUGUCUGACUAUAGGUCUAUUAGGUCUGGUGCUGUAGUGGUGACAGAGCGUGGAGGAAGACAUCGUUUCUCCUACACAGGACAUCCAUCAAGAUUAGUACUAAAGCCACAUGGAAUCUGUACUGACCCGCUGUCACACAUCCUGGUGUGUGAUCGUACAACCAACACAGUACAGAUGAUAGACAGUGACGGUCAGUUCCUGUCACAUCUACUGAUAAGACCAUCAGGGAUAUUCACACCAUGCAGCCUGAGUUAUGAUGUCAACACUCACCGUCUCUGGGUCGGAUCAGGGGACAACAACACGGUGGUUAUAUACAGGUAUAUCACCAGACAGGACGCUCUGACAGACACUGCUGAUAAACUCCACAGCAGCCAGCUCUCCAUGACUGAGUCACUCAACAAGGAGGAUGUGAUGGAGUCACUGAGUGCAAUCCAAAUCACAGAGAGAGGAAACCGACGCGUAGGAAACCAGUGUCUGCUGAAACUGACGUCUGGUGCUGAGCUCCAUCAAUCUCUCACACUGACAGGUGUUGAUGGUUGUGAUCACAUUUCCUGUGUGACAUCAGACCGGGUCUGGGUCAGUGAUUAUAACAAUCUCAUGUUGACAGACACAACAGGUGUCCCUCUACAUCGUGUGGAGGAUUCAUGUCGUUAUUUAUAUAGAGGUAAUGGAUUACACACAGUGAACAGUGAGAGUGAACUGAUUUAUGUAGAUAGGAAAUAUAACAUCAAGAAACUGUCAAAGGAUAUGAAAACAACCACCACAUUUAUAGAGAGAACAGACUCUACACGGUGGCCACUGUGUGUGUACUGGUCCCCGUCCACUGGGGAUCUACUGGUCGGGAUGUAUAACAAUGAUACAAAGACAGGCAAGGUAACCCGGUACAACCAGAGUGGACAACUCACACAAACCAUACAGAACAACAACACAGGACUGGGUCUGUAUAGAGAACCUCGCUAUAUAACAGAGAACAACAAUGGGGAUGUUGUGGUGUCUGACUAUAUCAAUCUGUCUGGUGCUGUAGUGGUGACAGAGCGUGGAGGAAGACAUCGUUUCUCCUACACAGGACAUCCAUCAGGAUCAGAACUACUGCCAUGUGGAAUCUGUACUGACGCGCUGUCACACAUCCUGGUGUGUGAUUGGGUAACCGACACAGUACAGAUGAUAGACGAGGACGGUCAGUUCCUGUCACAUCUACUGACAAAAUCACAAGAGAUGGGUAGACCACGGAGCCUGAGUUAUGAUGUCAACACUCACCGUCUCUGGGUCGGAUCAGAGGACAACAACAAGGUGUGUGUCUACAGUUAUAUAGACACACAGGACGUUCUGACAGAUGAGGAAACACACCCCACUGAUGGGGAGGCCAAGUCUAGCUCCACUGAUGGGGACGCCAUGUUUAGGUUCAGUGAUGGGGAGGCCAUGCUAAGCUCAACAACAGCGGCAGAAUGGAGAUAGCUUGGAUAUUGACAGAUACCAGAAAACUACAUCAAGUAUCAGCGAGAAACAACUUAAUUCAUUUGACUGGUUCCCUAUAGACCGUGGACUGGUAGCCAUUGGUGUCAACAUGAUGAACUCGCCAUAAGCCUCUCUCCAACAGUGACUGUCAUGGGUUGGAUUGUCUAUCGACCCUUGAUGGGAAUGGACAUAUUAGCUAUGGACUUUCUUUAUUGUGGAAUUUACCUUAAGUGGGUGCAUUGACACAUAUCUCUCUUGUGCAUCAAGUACAUUUGAUAAAGAAUACAAACAGUGAAGUGAAUAACAUUUAUUCAAACGUCUGAAAGUGAGGAAGACCUUACAUCACUUGAAUUCGUUGAUAAAAGAUCAUAAAGGAGGACUAGUCACCGUUCGGAAUCUAUACACUAAAAUUGCGUGAUAACCCCGUUGGAGGUUAAUGUGAUCUCCUAAAACCAUGUGGACCACAAUUGAACAAACUUGACCCGAUAUAUUAUGAACCUAUCAUAAUAUUCCAUUAGAAAACAUUUAAAUAAUGAAGAAGUGACAAAUAACGAGCAUCCGGUGUGAAAAUAAGAAAUUACAUGAAAGUAACUAUACUGACCAAAGAAUUUAUGUUCAUAAUAUAGAUGAAGUUUUAUCAUGAAAAGUGUAUUUGCUUCACGGCUGAAUUGCCGAAAUUAUAUUAUUUUAUUGUUUAUAUAGGAAACAUGUACAUACAGUAAAUAUUCCGUCACUAACAAUAUGUUGUAGUGUUUCUACUGUAUACAGGGUUAUUUUCACUCAAUGUUUUUUUCAUCCGGUAAUUUGUUCGCUCUUCUACACUUGUAAAUAGUUUUGUCCUGUCUUGAUUUCCUUAAUAUUCUAUUGAAUCAAUGCAAUAUUUUAAAAAAAAAAAUUGUGUUGAAUUCACCCAGACAUGAAUUUGCCCUUUGACAACAAGGGCGAAAAGGGAAAAAUAUAUUCAAGGGGGACACUGAUUUACCUCUAUACAGUGUAUAUCACAGGUUAUGAAAUUUGUAGGUCAACUAAUUGUCAAAUAUGUUCUGUUUUCAUAUAUAUUUUAAGUUAACCAUGCUGAAUUUAUAAAUCAAACAAAUUAUUGAAGUAUUUGUAGUUUUUGCUCGAUAAUGCAUUACAAAACAGUCAAAAACUUAUUCUAAUAGAACUAGAUCGUUCUCAUGAUAAUUAGUUAUUAUUUCAAAUCACAAGUUUUACAAAUAGUUUUUUUCUGUUUCCACAUAUGAGAAGAUGUGCAAGUUUUCUGUAUAUUUUUUUAUAAUGGCACGGUACAUAAAAUCAAUAGCCGACCACUGAUCUAACCUCCUUUGUACAUAAUUAUUUUUUCUACUGUAUUUUUGAUUCAAUUGUUAAGAGUGUGUUUUUGAUGUUUUAAUUACUCAAGGUUUUCCUUCAGAAAUAAAGAAUGGCUUCUAUUGAU